CAACCCACCCCACCCCACACCCCCACCAGCCAUGUUGUCAUCACCGACCUAAAGACUGCACUCACAAGCUCUGCUUCUCUGCCUCUUGAAUUUAUUCAUUCCCCCUCACCUACCUUUUUUUUUGUGAUCCCAAGUCAAACUGUGUGUGUGUGUGUGUGUGUGUGUGUGUGUGUGUGUGUGUGUGUGUGUGUGUGUGUGUGUGUGUGUGUGUGUGUGUGUGUGUGUGUGUGUGUGUGUGUGUGUGUGUGUGUGUGUGUGUGUGUGUGUGUGUUGCUUGGCCCUGUCCCAAUCCAUACUUAACUCGUUGGCACUGCAUGGCCGUCCUCCAGAUAGUCUGGUCCUGUGUGCCACUGCUCGGCCUGCCAUACCGACCCAAUCACCGCCCGGUGUGUGUGUGUGUGUGCGUGCGUGUGUGUGUGUGUGUGUGUGUGUGCGUGCGUGUGUGCUCUCGCACGACAGCCACCCUCACCCACUCACACAUCCACCCCACGCUCUUUUCAGCUCAAAUGGCUUAAGAAAAGUGUACACCUCCAGAACAAGCCCCUCUCCUCCCUCUAUACUCCUCCAUUUUUGUGAAACAACUUCCAGCCAGGAGACUCCCAUUGGGGACUCGACGCAGGUUCUCUUCAUCCAAAUCUUGAGCCAAAGCUUUAACUCCACCAAUCAAUAUCUCGGUCUGGCUUUUCCAUAGCAAAUCUCGGCACACGCAAACCCCUAUUUGGUUUCCUCCCCCAACGUGGGAGCGUAAGGCUCCAAGAUGCUUCCUCAUUAAGACACGGGCGAGAUCACCACGCGCCAGCAGCCUGCCUAAAUAUAAACCCCGGCCAGAGCAGGGUGGCUGUGUUUCCACGUACCGUUCGUGGGCUAACUGACAGUCACUGUUUGUCCUUACAAAGUGUGUGUGUGUGUGUGUGUGUGUGUGUGUGUGUGUGUCUACCUGCGCACAACUUUGUGUGCCCCCCCCCCAUGUGCGAUUACGCUCAUGGUGGUUGAACUGCGAGGUACGGGUCCCGUGUAGAGGUGACAACAGGGCCGUAGGGGAUACUAAAAGGUUGGGGUGGGCUUAUUAUAGAUCAACCGCUACCUCUGUAAUUCUACUCCCCACGAGGAAGACCACCUCAUCUCCGCUCAUGCCUGUGAGGGACACCCACGAGCACACAGUUUAAGGACGUGGGUUAUUCAUAGAGGGUUGGGGAAUUCAUGGACUACAGCACAGCGUUUUGGAUGGGGGUAUUGACACGGCACAGCAUAUUGCUUAGGGAUGUGACCAUUGUGUAUGUAUACUGACCCAACAGGUUGGGUCGUGCCUAAUACAGCUGAGUGGAUUCGUCUUUAGGGAAGUAACUAAAUGGUUAAAUCAUUCUUGGGAACAGAAAAUAUCAAAAUAUUAAUCUUUGUAAAGCUGGGCAAGGGUGACUAUUUUCCUAAUGGUGUUGGUUAUCUUUAACCGACAUCUGUCUUUUUAACUCUGUUAAACUAUUUAUUUUGCCCUUCAUUCAAAAAUCUAUGUGGGUUUGCCCCACAAAGAAUGUUUAAAGUUAUAUAUUAUUAUUUUCAUAUUCUUAAUUACUCGUGACAUCCACAUAUGAAAGACACCAACAAUAUGACGCAACCCUAUUGCCAUGCUGGCAUGGAUGCACAUUCUGGCGCAUUCUUGACUGGCAUGCGUUGGCGGAUGCGGCCUAAGCCAAUUUACACCCCCACAACCCCUUAUCCCGCCCCACCCCGUAUUCCAAGUGGCUUUGUUGGGAAUGCUAGAGAUGGCGCCCAUGCUGGCCACCUGUGGUGGAUACCAGGGCCUCGUCCAGUCGGGUCAGCCCCCCGGGGAUACAAAGUCAAGGGGAACGGAUCACCAAGCCGGCCCCAUGCUGACACCGUGUCUCGCAGAUUCGGUGGAUCAUUACAGCGCCAUGAACUAGUGAUUCACAAGCGCAUCAGCAGUUUUAAACGAGCUUGGUUUAACCUUUUUGGUUGAUGAAUUAUUGAGCUGGAAACGUGUCGUGUCUGUGAAGAGGGGGCAGCUGAUGAAGUGUGGACGGGGUUGCUCGUAUGUGUUUGAAGCGUGUGCACAUAGUGGUGAGCAAGAGAGAGAAGGAGGGCAUUUGCUUCUGCUAUGGAUUUACAUACAUUACCCUUUCAUUUCAUCUCCCACUAUUAAGUGCUAGCGUUUCCUGUCGUGUGUAUUGCUUCGCGUCUUGUGGGCCGUGUUGAGAAGUGUGUGGCCAAUUAUGCAGAGAAAGGGCUUCAGCACCUGUCACUGCCCAAGUCCCCGAACGGCGUACGGUCGCGCAUAUUCAAUGUCUCUAGCGCCUCUACAUCAUUUUGAAGGGUAACCAAGCAUUAAAACAAAACUACAAGACAAGGCCCAAAAAACAUGGACACUAUAUUUGCAACCAGGUCCAUCUAGCCUAUUUUCAAAACAAUAAGGGUCAUUAUGUUUUCUUAAUUCAAUAAAACGAACAACCACAAUUUAGAAAUUCAGCAAAAUAAUCAUUGUGCGUUUCGCCUUCCUAAAUCCCCCCCCCCUCCCAAGCGCCUGACCUCUCCCCAAAACCAAUGACUGACAACCCCCGCCUCUGUCCCCCCCCCC